rnacentral:rRNA from 1 species
GAUGAACGCUGGCGGAGUGCCUAACACAUGCAAGUCGAGCGGCAGCGCGAGUAGUUUACUACUUGGCGGCGAGCGGCGGACGGCUGAGUAACGCGUGGGAACAUGCCCCAAAGUGAGGAAUAACUGCCCGAAAGGGUAGCUAAUGCCGCAUACGAUCUUCGGAUUAAAGGAUUUAUCCGCUUUGGGAGUGGCCUGCGUACGAUUAGAUAGUUGGUGAGGUAAUGGCUCACCAAGUCUACGAUCGUUAACUGGUUUGAGAGGAUGAUCAGUCAGACUGGAACUGAGACACGGUCCAGACUCCUACGGGAGGCAGCAGUGAGGAAUCUUCCACAAUGGACGAAAGUCUGAUGGAGCAACUCCGCGUGCAGGAUGAAGGCCUUCGGGUCGUAAACUGCUUUAUGAGUGAAGAAUAUGACGGUAACUCAUGAAUAAGGGUCGGCUAACUACGUGCCAGCAG